rnacentral:rRNA from 1 species
UACGUAGGCAGCAAGCGUUGUUCGGAGUUACUGGGCGUAAAGGGUGUGUAGGCGGUUGCUUAAGUUUGGUGUGAAAUCUCCCGGCUCAACUGGGAGGGUGCGCCGAAUACUGAGUGGCUAGAGUCCGGAAGAGGAGAGUGGAAUUCCCGGUGUAGCGGUGAAAUGCGCAGAUAUCGGGAAGAACACCGGUGGCGAAGGCGGUUAGCUGGGCAGUUGCUGGACACUGAGGCGCGACAGCGUGGGGAGCAAACAGGG